rnacentral:rRNA from 1 species
AUUGAACGCUGGCGGCAGGCCUAACACAUGCAAGUCGAGCGGAGCGGCGGACGGGUGAGUAAUGCCUAGGAAUCUGCCUGGUCGUGGGGGAUAACGACCGGAAACGGGCGCUAAUACCGCAUACUAUCAGAUGAGCCUAGUUCGGAUUGGCUAGGUGGGGGGGUAAAGGCCUACCAAGGCCACGAUCCGUAACUGGUCUGAGUGGCAGAUCAGUCACCCUGGAACUGAGACACGGUCCAGACUCCUACGGGAGCGAGCAGUGGGGAAGAUUGGACAAUGGGCGAAAGCCUGCUCCAGCCAUGCCGCGGGUUUGAAGAAGGUCUUCGGAUUGUCAAGCACUUUAAGUUGGGAGGCGUUACCAACAGAAUAAGCACCGGCUAACUUCGUGCCAGCAGCCGCGGUAAUUC